GGGCGCUUGGCACAGUGGUAGCGCGCCUGCUUUGCAUACAAGUAUGACUGCAUGAGGUCGUGAGUUCAAACCUCACAGCGUCCA